CAGGGAUAUAAAGGUGAAGAGAGAUUCACAUCCUUUAAAGCCUGUAUGAAGAAGGAACUCACUGCUAAAUAGGUGAAAGUCCCGCUGAGUGUUUCUCUUCACCCUCACGUCACAUUGAAGAAAUCUCACGUUGGAUUAAAGUUCUCAGUGACUCGAUGCAAUUAUCUACCUGACCUGUCUCAAACUCUGUAAGAUACAAAUACUGCCAUAAUUAGAUUAACACAUGCUACCUCCUUAGACUGUAGUUGCAGCGUUGUCACUUGGCAGACACUUUCUGAACACUUUAAAAGCCAUUAACUAAAAGGGAUAACACUUUUAUGAAAUAGCCAUGCUACUUUUAUUAAUCAAAGAGUUAUUUAUUAAAUGUCUUUUAAAUUGAAAUGGGUCCAGUGCCCACAUUUUGGGAUAAAUUAUGUUGAUUAAUGAAUUACAAAGUAGUGUCUUUAUUUAUGAUGACAUUACUUCAUAAUUUUAAAGGGAACUGUGUUGAAGUGAAAAGUGCUGAAUUCUGAUGGCGUGUACAGUUAUAUAUUCUAUUUAUUGAUCUAUUUUGUGUAAAGAAAAGGUUCUCUUGGGUUUUAAUGCCUCUGUAGUGCUGUAUUGGCAAUGCAUUGUUAUAUAUGCUUCUCUAGAAGUUAUAAGCCAGAUAAUCUUUCCUUACAAUGAGCACAUUGCUAACAUAGUUUCUCUGAGCUUGUCCACUGCCCACCACCCAGAUCAGCUUACACAGGGUCUGACAGUGCUGAGUGCACACAGCAAUAAUGAGUCCUCAGUAGUCUCACAAUGUGCUACACAUACAGAGCCCUCUCUCCACCUCUUUCAUGAGUUUCUUACACUGCCGCUCCUUUAAGAAACAUCUUGUGAAGCCAAAACAACAAACGAGAAGAAACUGAAUCCCACUGAACUCUAAUCAGGCCUGGUUUCAUGUAGGUUUAGAGAUAUGAUAUCCAUCUCUGUGAAUCAUUUUAUAAUGGUUUUAACUGACCUAUCUUCAGAAUUCUGACAGUGCUUUAGACUUAAGUUAUUUUUGAUUGUUCUUUUAGGUGAUUAAGCAUAUUACAGUGUGCGGUUUUUAUUAUCAUUGUCAUAAGUAACAUUAUAGGGGAAGCCAGGGCUAGUUGUCACACAUUACUCUAGUGAAUAAUUCUCAGGGUGUUUAUUUUUUUCAACAUCUGUGCAGAUAUUUUUAAAUCAUUGGCAACAAAAAGCUUUUGAACAUUACCACCAUUAUUGUCCAGGAAAUAAGAUAC